GACGAACGCUGGCGGCGUGCUUAACACAUGCAAGUCGAACGGAAAGGCCCUGCUUUUGUGGGGUGCUCGAGUGGCGAACGGGUGAGUAACACGUGAGUAACCUGCCCUUGACUUUGGGAUAACUUCAGGAAACUGGGGCUAAUACCGGAUAGGAGCUCCUGCUGCAUGGUGGGGGUUGGAAAGUUUCGGCGGUUGGGGAUGGACUCGCGGCUUAUCAGCUUGUUGGUGGGGUAGUGGCUUACCAAGGCUUUGACGGGUAGCCGGCCUGAGAGGGUGACCGGCCACAUUGGGACGGAGAUACGGCCCAGACUCCUACGGGAGGCAGCAGGGGGGAAUAUGGCACAAUGGGCGGAAGCCUGAUGCAGCAACGCCGCGUGCGGGAGGACGGCCUUCGGGUGGUAAACCGCUUUCGCCUGUGACGAAGCGUGAGUGACGGUAAUGGGUAAAGAAGCACCGGCGAACUACGU
rnacentral:rRNA from 1 species